rnacentral:misc_RNA from 1 species
UUGCCUUCCUUAUUAGCAGCUUUAGGUUUGUUUCUUGCUAGCUUGUUGUGUUGAUUGGCCGUGUGUUUGAGCCGAGCAUGCACUUCUUCCAGCCUCCCUCAGCUUUGGUGAAGAAUGGAUUACUACUGUGAUAUUUGUCCUUCAAUUUGUGUUUAUUGGAUUUGAUUUUUGGGGGUUGGUGUCUUCUAGUGAUGUUUCUUGCUAGCUUGUUGUGUUGAUUGGCCGUGUGUUUGAGCCGAGCAUGCACUUCUUCCAGCCUCCCUCAGCUUUGGUGAAGAAUGGAUUACUACUGUGAUAUUUGUCCUUCAAUUUGUGUUUAUUGGAUUUGAUUUUUGGGGGUUGGUGUCUUCUAGUGA